AGCGUGUCACAAGUAUAUUAAGUCAGAAACCACCCCAUUGUUUGUGGUUUGACACAUCAGAAGUGCUGCUCACAUCCGCAAACUGUGCAACACGUAGGCUUGAUGCACUGGCGAUUCAGCUGCGUUAAUCAUCCUCUUCCUCAUUAUGAUACACCGGACAUAUGUUAGUAUGAGGAACUGAACCGUGACUACUGCGCCGUCCCGCUUGGAUGCAGCCCGAUGUCAAGGUUUUAGUGUAGGAAAGAUAAAACAGUGAUGCGGUCAGAGACAGAAGAAAAUUAAAUCAGAUGGUCAGAGAGUCACCGAGGAAAAGGUUUGAAGAUGGACUCCGCCAGUCCCUUUUCCAGGGUGGAGAGGACUUUGUGGUCAGUUUGGUACUAUAUAACUGGAGCAGUAAACAGAUUCCUCAGGCCAGAGCCCACUGACACCGUUAACAAUGACCCAAACUCCUUCCAAGAAUCUACAGUGGACAGUGAGCCCCCUGAUGCUGGUCACCCAGAAAGUGACACUAGUAGAGAGGUUGUCAAUGAGGAACAGGCUGUUACAACAGCCUCUCUGCUUAGUUCAUCUAAGCCAGUUGUUGCCUGGGAAGUUUGCACCACAGAAAUCAACUUAGGGCCUGAGGAAGAAAGCAUGCAGUACAAAAGCCUGCUGAGUGGAGGCAGUGAGAGCAAAGCAUCUGAGGAAGGUGAGGGCACAAGAGAGGAACAGAUUAGCCAAACAGGAAAUGAUGAUGCAGGGCUGCUCAUUGCUAACGAUGCAAGAGCAAAAGAAGAUGAACAAGAAGAAAACAGAGAUCGGAAAUUGUUCGCUCACAAACAAGAUGAGACAACAGAGAUUAAUGAGUAUGAAGAUCGUGCAAAGUCACUAAAUCUUACAGAUGAUGCAAUGAGUGAAGACAUGGACGGAGGCGGAAGAAGGUCUGAUGCUGAGGAGGAGACUCAGGUGGCAGUGAGACUGGACGAUCUUCAAAAAAUAGAAGAAACUGUGGGAAAGAUCCAAGUAAUGGAAGAAGACGAUGAAAUGCACCAUGAAGAUGAAGAAGAUUUGGAGUUAGAAGACACUGAGAUAAAGUUGAGCCCAAUGACAGAUUUUAGUUUUGAAGAGGAGCGUAACGUGCACACUGAAGAUGCAUGUGUGCAGAGAGAUGAGGCGGAUACAUCGGUAACAUAUGAAGAAGUAGAAAACAGUGAGGAUGUGUUAGAGCUGGGGGAAAAACAAGUUAAAAAUCAGUUCUCAGUCUGUGAGGAGCCAUUAGAAAAUGUUGAAGAUGUCAAGCAAGACACAGGCCUUCUUUUACUGAAUGAUGACUUACAAAUGACCUUCGAAAAAAGUGGAAAUGUGUCAGAGGAUGUUGAACAAGAGCAUCUUAUGGUUCGCAGAAGUGAAAGUGAUAAGGUUGAGGAUGAAAGAGAAGAGGAGGAGGAGAACUCAUCGGAUGAAAGGGAGCAGGGUGCAGAAGAAAAUGUGAAUGUGUCUGCAGACAGCCAGUCAAUAUACGAAGAGCCAGAGCAGGAAGAGGACAUCAAGACAGUCGCGGAAGACAGUCAAGAAGAAGACAUUUUGACUGAACGUGUUUCAUGCCAUGAAGAAGUCAUGCAGAAUGCUGAAGCAGAGAGCACACAACACACAGCUGAAUUCACAGAUGAAGAAAAAGAGGAUGUGGCUAAGGACGCUAAAGUGCAAACUAAAAUAAGAGAGACAGAUAAUGUUGACGGCACGGUGACUGAUGAAAAAUCUCAUGUGACAACAACAGACAUUUCAGUAGAUGAGAGAUUUUUUGAUAAAGAUCAAGUAGAAGAGGAGAGGCUCUCCAGUGAAGAGAAAGACAGAGAUGUCUACAUGGAAAUAGCAUGUACAACCACCUCAGUUACAGGAGUACCCGAAGGCGAGACUGGACAGGAAAUUAGUGGAGAGUUUGAAAAUAUUCAGGGAUAUGUGAAGGCCCGCUUGUUGUGUCACAGGAGCUAAAUUCUCCAACAUGUGAGGAAACACAAGAGGGAGUUCCUGAAUACAACAAUGAGCCUGGGCCAGAUGAAAACAUAACACAAAAGUUCCUGGAAGUAGGAGAAGGAGAUUGCGAGGAAAUCCAUGCUGCUCAAUUACCAGAAGAGGAGGAGAGCGAAGAGCCAGAGAGCCUUCAAAACACUGGAGGUGACUAUUUACUGGUGAGUGAGCAUAUGGAAGAAGAACUACAAAGCACAGAAGAUAUUACGGACGAGCAUACUGAAAUACUGAACCUUACACAAGAAACAGAAAAACCAGUUGUUGAACCAGUAACUGAAGGAUCAGGACCCUUAUUUGAGGAAGAGGAAGGAAAAUCAUUGGACAGCUCAGUGAAGAUGGGGAUCAAGCACUCAGAAAAGGAAUUUGAGACACACAUUGGUGUGACAGACAAGACUAACGAGACAACAAAAGAGUUGCAAGAUGAGACUGAAGAGCUUUUGGUUGAAUUUGAAAUAGAUGAAGGUUUAAGUGACUUCAGAGAUGCUGUCAGAGAUGGCCAUGAGAUAGGAGCCAUAGCAGCAGAUGAUUUGCUGGUCGAAUUUGCUGACAAAACUAUAAAAACCUUUGAGGUUGAAGAGCAGGAGAUGACAGAGAUGACCUUCCAAGAAUCAGUAGAUGCCAAAAACUCUGAACAAAAAACUUCUAGUUUAUUAGAAGACAUUACUGAAUCUGGAUUCAUGAGACAGUUGGUUGAAACAGAGCCUAAAUUAUUUGAAGAUGGUACUGUAGAAAUGGAAGAUGCAGGGAUAGAUAUGGAAGAGACAGGUUAUGGAGUUGAGGAUGAAGCAAUAGAAGAUGAAAUGCAGAAUGAAAAUGAGAUGGAAAUUUUAAACCUGGAGCCAGCAGGACUGGCAACUGACCCAACCACAGAAAACAUCAACAAUACUUUACUUGAAGAAUCUGAAUUAUCUAGACCAGAUGAGUCAGUGGAGACAAGACUUCAACUAUCAGAUGAAGCAUUCAAGAUAAGGAAUGAGGAGAUGUUAGCAGACACUGAAGUUUCAGCUGAAUUAAUGACGACAGAGUCUGAAAUAAAAGAUAUGACUCUGAUACUUACGGAGGCAAUGGAGAAGCAUGGGACAGAAUCAGAGAGGAAUUAUGCUGAAGAAGCAAGUAGCUCAGUCACUGGAUGUCAAGAUGUGAUUGAUGAAGAAAUCCUUGAUUUGUGGAUAGAGACAGCACUGUCAAAGGACACCAACGACAUGGAGCAGCAAGAAGGGUCUCAACCUGAACAAAAAACAGACACCAAAAUAGAGCCAUCAACUGAUGAGCAAGAUGAAAUGCCAUCAGUGCAUGCAGGGACAGAGAAAGAACAGCUUGCAGAGUCGAAUUCAGGAGAAUCUGGAUUGGUAAGUGACACAGAAAUGUCUUCAUCAGCAGCUGAGUCUGGGUUUUUGGACCAGUCUGUCAGUGAAUGGGGCACAGGCAGUGAAAACCAGCUACUGAAGUCACUUAGCACUGGAUCAUUUCAAGGCACCUAUGACAUAUUUGCUAGUAUUUCAGAAUCAUUAGAUAUCUCUGAAUUGUCUACACAGAAACAUAUCUCUGAAACUCAGGACAUAUUGAUAGAGGAAGCAGUGGAGAUAGAACAAUCAGAUCUGACAGAGGAGGAAUCGAUCAUUGAGACUGGAUUUCACCCUGACUCAGGAGUUGUAUCAUCUGAGGCUGAACACCUAAGUCAGGAAUUGGACCUAUUGCAGGAAAAAACAGACGGAAGAACGAGUUGAAUCAGCAGAAAGUGAAACUGGAUCACAGAAAGAGCUUGAUGCUGACAUAACAGACAUAGUAAGGAUAACAGACUGGAAAGACGAUGAAGAAGCAAAUGAGGUAACUGCACCUGACUGUCCCAGUGAAAUCAAACAUGCUGAAUCUAGAAGUGGCACAGAGGCUUCAUUACAGGAGAAAAUCAUGUCGGCAGGGUCAGAAGACAACACCUGUGCUGAACCUGAGAAGUUAUUGAGGUUGCCCUCACUGGACAAACCACAGCCCAGAUGGUUAGAGGAUAUUGCUGAAUCAUUACUUGAGCUAGACGAGGCUGAGGUGGCAGAACAGCUGACGACAACGUCUGAAGAUCAGAUUGAGUUGGAUCGGUCUGCACUGGACUUCACCGCACAAAGGUCAAGAAUUGCUGUCAAAAACCCUCGUGUAAGACCACCCAAAGAUCCCCGCUCCCUGCUACAUAUGCCUUCAGUGGAACCCACACCCUCCUCACAUCUGCCAGUCAGAGUCCCUGCAGGUGUGCCUUUGGGAGGCAUGGGCAUUGGAAUAAAACUGCCUGGGCUUGGUGCAGGUUUUCCUGUUUUAAAAAAGACAAGGCCUGUGGUGAAAGGAGAAACAAGCUCAGAAACCCCCUCACAGGAACCUGAGACAAAGCCAGAGGAGAAGAGUGGCACUCCCAGAGAAGAUGAAGUGCAACACAAACCUAAAUGGAUGCCACCAAGACAACCAGGAUUUGGAAAUCCACUUAUGUCUGAGCUGAAGUCCAAACUGAGGAAACCCACACAAGAGUGAUAAAAAAUGAACUGUAAUGCUUUGUGUCAAUAUCUGAAUUUAAUAUACAAAUAGCUUUAUUUUUUGGUGUAUUUAUCAAAUUGAAUACAGAGAUGAGUUGUCGUUCAUGUCAAUUACUUUUUAUGUUUAAGUUUUGUAAUAAAGAUUUACUGAAAAAUAAA